rnacentral:tRNA from 1 species
GCGGUGGUAGCUCAGUCGGGUAAGCGCUCGCCUCUCACGCCAGAUGUGCGGGUUAGAUUCCCGUCCCUGACA